rnacentral:rRNA from 1 species
GUCUACAGCCACGCCAUCCUGAAUAUGCCCUAUCUCGUCUGAUCUCAGAAGCUAAGCAGGGUUGAGCCUGGUUAGCACUUGGAUGGGAGACUACCUAGGAAUACCAGGUGCUAUAGGCA